UCUAUGGAACAAAGAGAUAUUUAACUUAUGGGCUCCCAUGGAGGUGGCGGUGGAUUAGGAGUCAAAGCUCUCAUGGACAUCAUAAACUCCUGAAACAUACUUCGAAACUCUUNNNNNNNNNNNNNNNNNNNNCCUUCGAUAUGCCGUCAGAAAUCUCUCGAUAAACCCUCGGUGAAUUCCCUUGGAAAGCCCUCGACAAGCCCUCGGUGAUUGUUUUUUACCCUCUUUGUGUGUGCUCUCUUCAUUUAAAACUUCCCUCGGUAGGCCCUCGGUGAUCCCUCGAUAAUCUUUUCCCUCAAUAAUCUCUCGGUAAUCAUUUGAUAAUCUGAUUUUCUUAUUUUUUUCCCUUAGUGUUCCCUCGAUAAUCUGAUUUUCUUUUUCAUUUUCUUUGGUAAUUCCUCAAUGAUCCCUGGGUAAUUUGUCCAAAAUUCUACAGAUAUACUCUUAUUUAUCCUGCCAGUUAUUAUUAUGCUAUAAACUAAAAUUAAAUUGAAAUACAGUAUCGAAAAUAUUUCAAAAUCAAGUGCAUAAAAUUAGAUUGAUAAUUAAAACACAUCUAAUACAUAAUAUUCAAAACCAAAUUCAUAACCUAUAUAAUAUUCUUUCCAUCCAAGUCAUUAAUACAACUGUAUUUCAAUCAUCUUCUCCUGUGUUUUCAUUAAAAGCCUCGUCUUCAUCAUGUUGACACCAGGGUGCAUGCGAUACCUACAAAUACAUAACAUAUAUAUAAGAAUUAAAGUUUAAGGCAUAAAUGACUUGCAAAAUUUCUAUGGAACAAAGAGAUAUUUAACUUAUGGGCUCCCAUGGAGGUGGCGGUGGAUUAAGAGUCUAAGCUCUCAUGGACAUCAUAAACUCCUGAAACAUACUUCGAAACUCUGGAAGCUUAUCUCUAACUUGUGCUUGAAAUGCACCACAUGAAGUGCAAUCUGAGUUGGACUCUUAAGUUGAAAGACAUGAAAAAAGCACAAAUGAUGAGGAGGCA
rnacentral:lncRNA from 1 species